rnacentral:misc_RNA from 1 species
GUAGGUGAACCUGCGGAAGGAUCAUUAAAGAGUCAGGCCCCCCGCGGGGCCGAACCUCCAACCCUGUCAUCCAGACCAAGUUGCUUCGGCGGAAAGGGCCGCCCGGGCCUUCACCGGCCGGGACGGCCUCUGCCGCCGGAGGCCAAACAAACUCUCGAGUGAACAUUUGCCUCCGAGUAAACAAACAACCAAAUCAAAACUUUCAACAACGGAUCUCUUGGUUCUG